UACGAAGGGGGCUAGCGUUGCUCGGAAAUGACUGGGCGUAAAAGGGCGCGUAGGCGGUUUUGUACAGUCAGGUGUGAAAUUCCCGGGCUCAACCUGGGGGGCUGCACUUUGAUACGUAUGGACUGGGAGUGGGGAAGAGGGUCGUGGAAUUCCCAGUGUAGAGGUGAAAAUUUGUAGAUAUUCGCAAGAACACCAGUGGCGAAG
rnacentral:rRNA from 1 species